rnacentral:rRNA from 1 species
UACGGAGGAUGCGAGCGUUAUCCGGAUCUAUUGGGUUUAAAGGGUGCGCAGGCGGCGUGUCAAGUCAGCGGUAAAAUGUCGGGGCUCAACCCCGGCCGGCCGUUGAAACUGGCGUGCUCGAGUUGGAGAGAAGUAUGCGGAAUUCGUGGUGUAGCGGUGAAAUGCAUAGAUAUCACGAAGAACCCCGAUUGCGAAGGCAGCAUACCGGCUCCACACUGACGCUGAGGCACGAAAGCGUGGGUAUCGAACAGG